rnacentral:rRNA from 1 species
ACGUACGCUGGCGGCACGCCUAACACAUGCAAGUCGAACGAAGUAGCAAUACUUAGUGGCAGACGAGUGAGUAACAUGUGGGUAUCUACCCUUUGGCCUGGAAUAACACGAGGAAACUUGUGCUAAUACCGGAUAAGUCUUUACGGAGAAAGCUUUAUGCACCAUUGGAUUAGCCCGCGUUAGAUUAGAUAGUUGGUGGGGUAAUGGCCUACCAAGUCUACGAUCUAUAGCUGGUUUGAGAGGAUGAUCAGCAACACUGGGACUGAGACACGGCCCAGACUCCUACGGGAGGCAGCAGUGGGGAAUCUUAG